GUCUUUUUGAUAAUAAUAUAAAGUCUGACCUGCCCAAUGAGGAUUUAAAUGGCCGCGGUAUUUUGACCGUGCAAAGGUAGCAUAAUAAUUAGUUUUUUAAUUGAAAGCUGGAAUGAAUGGUUGGACGAGAAAAUAGCUGUCUCAGAUUAAUUUAAUUAGAAUUUUAUUUUUAAGUAAAAAAGCUUAAAUUUUUUUAAAAGACGAGAAGACCCUAUAGAGCUUUAUAUAUUUAAAAUUAAAUUUAAUUUAGUAUAAUUUAGUUUUUAUUUUUAAAUGUAUUUUAUUGGGGUGAUAAAAAAAUUAAUAAAACUUUUUUUUUAUAUUAACAUUAAUUUAUGAAUUAUUGAUCCAUUUUUUAUGAUUAAAAGAUUAAGUUACCUUAGGGAUAACAGCGUAAUUUUUUUUUAGAGUUCUUAUCGAAAAAAGAGAUUGCGACCUCGAUGUUGGAUUAAAAUUAAUAUUUGGUGUAGAAGCUAAAUAAUUGGGUCUGUUCGACCUUUGAAAUUUUACAUGAUCUGAGUUUAAACCGGUGUAAGCCAGGUUGGUUUCUAUCUUUAAAUAAUUAGAAUAUUUUAGUACGAAAGGACCAAAUAUUUAUAAAAUUUAUUGAAUUUUGAAUAAUAUUAA
rnacentral:rRNA from 1 species